AUUGAACGCUGGCGGCAGGCCUAACACAUGCAAGUCGAACGAGUGGCGGACGGGUGAGUAAUGUCUGGGAAACUGCCCGCUGGAGGGGGAUAACUACUGGAAACGGUAGCUAAUACCGCAUACCAUCGGAUGUGCCCAGAUGGGAUUAGCUAGUAGGUGGGGUAACGGCUCACCUAGGCGACGAGCCCUAGCUGGUCUGAGAGGAUGACAAGCCACGUUGGAACUGCGACACGGUCCAGACUCUUACGGGAGGCAGCAGGAGGGAAUAUUGCACAAGGAGCGAAAGCCUGAUGCAGCCAUGCCGCGUGUAGGAAGAAGGCCUUCGGGUUGUAAAGUACGUUCAGCGAGGAGGCGUUACUCGCAGAUGAAGCACCGGCUAACUCCGUACCAGCCGCCGCGGUAAUUC
rnacentral:rRNA from 1 species